rnacentral:tRNA from 1 species
GAGGGUACAGCUCAGUGGUCGAGCACGUGCCCGGCAUGCACAAGGUCCUGGGUUCAAUCCCCGGUACCUCCA